CGUCACUCCUCUAGGCGGAAGGAUCUGCGCGCUAUCUUUUAUGGCCAUAAACAUAACCGAGAAAAGAACAUAACCGAAUAAACUUGCUCCGUUAUUGGGUGUAAUGUCCGACCACACGACCGAAAUGGUAAAAAGAUGGAAAACGGACUUUUAUUUCACCGUUUUCCUGCCUGUAAACAACACGAGGGGGCUAAGCUAACGGAGCUAAGCUAUCGGAGCUAACGAAAAGCAGACGAAUGUCCUGGUAUCAGCGGUCAGACGUCCUGAUAUCACGUUCUCCAACAUCCCAAGUUAUCAACUAGUUUGCUACAGACAUGGCAAACCGACGUAUGAAAUGGAUGAGCAAGAUCCAGACUGGGUUCCAGCGCUUAAUCUGGGUGACUGCGAGGUAAACGCCAAAACAUGGGACCGACAUGCGAUCAAUUAAAGAGGCAAUACAGCAAGACCAUGAUGGAUCAUCAAGUGGGGGAGCAAGUCACAGGAACAGGGGCCAUAGCAGAGGAGCAAGAGGCUGAGGAGGAAACCCCAGCAGAGAAGCUCAGCGUGGCUGCUCACUCUGAAGAGGAACAUUUGAACCAUUUAUGUUGAAAUAUGUGAACAGUUGGAGGUGUCUGUUUUCUCUCAUUUCGUAAUUUAAUGUGAUAAACAUUCAUGAAACGUUUGAUUCAAGCAUUUCAAGUUGCAUGUAAACAGGUGAUGAAAUGAAUCACAUUUUAAGUAAAACUUUGAUAUCUAAAAUGUUUCAGGUAAUAAACAUGUGUAAUGAAA